rnacentral:rRNA from 1 species
CUACGGGAGGCUCCAGUGAGGAAUAUUGCACAAUGGAGGAAACUCUGAUGCAGCAACGCCGCGUGGAGGAUGACGCAUUUCGGUGUGUAAACUCCUUUUAUAUGUCAAGAAAAUGACGGUAGCAUAUGAAUAAGCACCGGCUAACUCCGUGCCAGCAGCCGCGGUAAUACGGAGGGUGCAAGCGUUACUCGGAAUCACUGGGCGUAAAGGACGCGUAGGCGGGAUAUCAAGUCAGGUGUGAAAUCCUACAGCUUAACUGUAGGACUGCACUUGAAACUGGUAACCUAGAGUAUGGGAGGGGGAGAUGGAAUUAGUGGUGUAGGGGUAAAAUCCGUAGAUAUCACUAGGAAUACCUAAAGCGAAGGCGAUCUCCUGGAACAUAACUGACGCUAAGGCGUGAAAGCGUGGGGAGCAAACAGGAUUAGAUACCCCGGUAGUC